UACGUAGGGUGCGAGCGGUAAUCGGAAUUACUGGGCGUAAAGCGUGCGUAGGCGGUUCGUUAAGUUCGUUGUGAAAGCCCCGGGCUCAACCUGGGAAUGGCAAUGGAAACUGGCGGGCUGGAGUAUGGCAGAGGGGGGUGGAAUUCCGCGUGUAGCAGUGAAAUGCGUAGAGAUGCGGAGGAACACCGAUGGCGAAGGCAGCCCCCUGGGCCAAUACUGACGCUCAGGCACGAAAGCGUGGGGAGCAAACAGG
rnacentral:rRNA from 1 species